GACGAACGCUGGCGGCGUGCUUAACACAUGCAAGUCGAGCGGAGCGGCGAACGGGUGAGUAAGGCGGGAGUAACUGCCCCCCUCCCUGGGAUAACAGUUGGAAACGGCUGCUAAUACCGGAUAGUGGGGGAUGAAUCGGGUCCUAUCGGCCUGUUGGUGGGGUAGUGGCCUACCAAGGCGACGACGGGUAGCCGGCCUGGGAGGGGGACCGGCCACAAUGGGCUGCGAGACGGCCCAGACUGCUACGGGGGGCAGCAGUGGGGAAUAUUGCACAAUGGGGGCAACCCUGAUGCAGCAACGCCGCGGGCGUGAUGUCGGCCUUCGGGUUGUAAACGGCUUUCGGCCAUGACGCGUUAGUGGCAGAAGAAGCACCGGCUAACUACGUGCCAGCAGCCGCGGUAAUAC
rnacentral:rRNA from 1 species